rnacentral:rRNA from 1 species
AUGCACCAGGUUGCCCUUUAUACAUUGAGGGUACUUUCCAAGGGCCUCACAAAUGGUAUUCAGAGCCUAGAUCGCGUCCGUCUGCGCUCUCAAUCUCUUGAUUGGGCUGUAAAAUUCCACCGCGAAGGGUGUGAAAAUUUGUUCCACAAAUUUUCGCCCAAAAUCCCGGGCGGGGUUAGCCCGAUUUUGGAGCAAGCCGCAACGGCGCCGUCGAAGCAGCCGCUACCGUCCGCGCAGACCAAACUCGUCCUCGCUGCCAUGGGGGAAAAUUCCGAGAGUAUUCAGUCGACGUUGGCUACCUUGCUGACCAAGUUCGAGGCCAUGGAUCUCAGGAUUUCGAACUUGGGCAAGCAAAUCGAGGCGACGCAAGAGAACGUCGACGCGAUUCGUCAUCGUCAGGCGGAGGCAGGCGCUACUCCGACAGGAUCAGGUGUCACGGAGCAGGGCGCGACCUCCACCACUCUCCCCGUUCCGCGGCUUGCUAAUCUGCAGCCGCCGUUGCUGGGGACACCGGCAGAGCAUCAGGAAGGGCAGGUAUUCACCACAGCACCUCCCUUGCCUGUGGAGCAAGUACCAGGUCGGGAUCCACCUCCAGAAACGCGUCAACAAGUCAGGCCAGGGCGGGAGCAUGUUCCAGAACCUCGUCGGGAGUUUGCAGCGGCUCGCGAUCAGGACUCCCACGUCAAGCCACCCAAGCAUCACUUUCCCCGAUUUGCGGGUGAGAAUCCGAGGUUGUGGUUGGAUCAGGCACUGACCUAUUUCAACAUGUAUCGCGUGCCUGAACAUCACUGGGUCUCGACAGCAACAUUAUAUCUGGAAGGGCAUGCGGCAUUGUGGUGGCAGGCGUUCAAACAGCGUCGUCGUUUGUGGCCCUGGGAUGAUUUUGCAAUGGAGAUUGCACUGGAGUUUGGCCAAGGGGAGUAUGAAUCACACAUGACCAGAAUUUUGCAACUCAAACAGCUGGGUACAGUUACUGAAUACAAGACUGAGUUUGAGUCUGCAAUGUAUAACUUGAUCGCAUUGGACCCUUCCUUGAACUCGAAAUUCUUCAUUUCUCAGUUCGUGUUGGGUCUCAAGGAUGACAUUCGAGCAGCAGUGCGCUUGCAGUCUCCCACCAGUGUAACUCGUGCUGUCUGUUUGGCAAAAAUCCAGGAAGAGGAGCUCGAUCUGCAACGUCCUAGACAACGGUUCCAGAGACAUACACCAAUACAGACCGUGCCUGCUGUAAUCCAACCUGUUCAGCAAGCAGGCAAGAAAGCAACAGAUGAUUUUGGUCGUGAGAGACAGCUACGAGAUUUCAGAAAAGCAAAUGGUCUAUGCUUCAGGUGUGGAGAUAAGUACAGCAAGGAACAUCAAUGUAAGAAGCCUAUGCAGCUACUUACUAUACAAGUUGGUGAGCAUGGUGAAAUUUUAACUGAAGAUGCAGUGCAAGCUUUGGAAUUACUAACUGAACCCACCACAUCGGAGUGCUGUCAGAUUUCAGCCCAUGCUGUGUAA